UGUCUAUUCCUUUUUAUUUGAUUUUUUAGCCUCCCUCUUUCUCUCAAACCGAAUUCAAUUUAUCCCAGAUUUGUUGUGGCAAACGGAAAUAAGAAGCCUCCUUCGCGGCGGUUCGUUUUCAAUCGCAGUAGUAUGCAAAAAUGAAAAUCAACCGGAGAUCUUUUUCAGCUAACUCUGGAUAAUUCGAACUGAAUUGAAAA
rnacentral:ribozyme from 13 species